rnacentral:rRNA from 1 species
UACAGAGGGGGCAAGCGUUGUUCGGAAUUACUGGGCGUAAAGGGCGCGUAGGCGGCCUUCUAAGUCGAACGUGAAAUCCCCGGGCUCAACCUGGGAACUGCAUUUGUGACUGCAUAGCUAGAGUGCGGCAGAGGGAGAUGGAAUUCCGCGUGUAGCAGUGAAAUGCGUAGAUAUGCGGAGGAACACCGAUGGCGAAGGCAAUCUCCUGGGCCUGCACUGACGCUCAUGCACGAAAGCGUGGGGAGCAAACAGG